rnacentral:sRNA from 1 species
AUAGCUUCUCAAAGCUUUAAUAGUGUAGCCGAAGUCCGUAUGAGUCUUUGGCUUUGUAUUUUCUAAU